rnacentral:lncRNA from 1 species
UUCCCCCUUUAUGUUCAUUUAUUUCUAUUUUUUAUCAUGUUAACUAUGAUUUUUGUGAACGAUGAAUAUGGACUGAAUUCGGGACAACUUGGAAGGGAGAUGAUUGGUGCAUGAUCUGGAGAAGGAAAUUUGCUUUGAGACAAUACCUUGUAUAUGUGGUGCCUUCCCCAGUGAUUUACUCUUGGCCACUUUUCUGACCAUUGGUCUCUCCUCUGUGGCCAAUUAAGUGAUGAAACCCUUUCUACUUACUUUCUCACUUGUUGAACCUCCAGAUCAUAUGUUGACUGCCGCUGUGGCUCAAGUCCCAGUUGUUCUAUUUUUCUUUUUAUUUUUGAAUUUUUUUUAUAUAUGUCUGAUAUUUGUCUGAAUGUGUGAUCCUUUUUUGUUUCAGCCUUUUGUAAUUUUAUAAUAUUGUAUUUGUAUUUCUUGUGAAAAAUCCUCAAGGACUUGCUCAAUUGGCCUCACACAUGGGCCUCACACAUGGUAGGUGGGUGUUAUGAACCUGACUUAGUGAAGGGAAAUACGCGAAAGAGUGGGAAGGUUUCUGAAAAGGAAGGGAAGCAUGCAAGGAAUAAAUAAUGGCCAUUCUGCAGAUCUUGUAUAUGUAAGUAGUUCUUUGACAUUCUUUACAUGGCCAUAUUCUCUGACCUUUUCUAAUACUUUAGUACUUUGAUCCAUUUGAACUUCCAGCGCACAUGACUCAAUACCUUAUUGAUGUUUUGUCCUGGUACAUUUGGUAAUUGUACUGCAACUCUGGAAUUGAACUUCAAACAUCUGCUACUAUUUGUCGAAAUUGUCAUCAACUGCUUGAAAGCAAAGGUUUUGAACUGUAAUGGUUAAUUGACGUCUUAUCCUUUUUUCUCAGUGCUUUUAGCUGACUACAUUACCAGGGCUUGGAAUUUGACGGUGAUCCUGGUAGCCUCCGAAGCCUUAAAACACUAAAGAUGCUUGCCUUUUUCGGUUAUAUCAGCUUCAAAUACAGGGAGUUGAUGAAAUGUAUGUGCAGCCUUUAUGGUUGAAGUGAUAUAACAAAAAAAUAAUAAUUGGGGCUUGUAUGGAAAACAGGAUAAUAAACAAUGUUUGAAUAUAGUAUGAUACAGAUUAAGAGAGAUA